GAGCGGAUGACGGGAGCUUGCUCCUUGAUUCAGCGGCGGACGGGUGAGUAAUGCCUAGGAAUCUGCCUGGUAGUGGGGAACAACGUUUCGAAAGGAACGCUAAUACCGCAUACGUCCUACGGGAGAAAGCAGGGGACCUUCGGGCCUUGCGCUAUCAGAUGAGCCUAGGUCGGAUUAGCUAGUUGGUGGGGUAAUGGCUCACCAAGGCGACGAUCCGUAACUGGUCUGAGAGGAUGAUCAGUCACACUGGAACUGAGACACGGUCCAGACUCCUACGGGAGGCAGCAGUGGGGAAUAUUGGACAAUGGGCGAAAGCCUGAUCCAGCCAUGCCGCGUGUGUGAAGAAGGUCUUCGGAUUGUAAAGCACUUUAACUUGGGAGGAAGGGCAGUAAGCUAAUACCUUGCUGUUUUGACGUUACCGACAGAAUAAGCACCGGCUAACUCUGUG
rnacentral:rRNA from 1 species